rnacentral:lncRNA from 1 species
UUUCCAACAGUGCUUGUGAAACAGGUGUUUUUUUUUUUUUUUUUAAAUAUCCAUACUCAUUAAAACUGCUAGAAUGAGGAGCUUCAAAGCAGGAAUACAAUAUUGACAGGAAGAUUAAUUUUAAAGUCAGACAGAAUUCUACUCCUGCCACUUACUAAUUAGCUGUGCAAUCCUGGUCAAGCGAACACUUGUGUUUUCUUCUGACAAAUACUGCCUUAAAGGGUUUUUGUGUCCAUUAAAUGGGAUCAAUUAGAUGAGGUAAAUGGCACAAGUUGGUGAUUUAAAAAUUGUCAAAGUUGCUGACACUUGGCAAUUUUUAUCUACAAAAACGUGUUUUCUAUGUUCAAUCUAACAACUAUUAUUUUUUAAUUAUUAUUAUUUUUUGAGACAGAAUCUCACUCUUGUUGCCCAAGUUAGAGUGCACUGGCGCAAUCUCAGCUUACUGCAACCUCCACCUCCCUGGUUCAAGCAAUUCUCCUGCCUCAGCCUCCUAAGUAGCUGGGACAACGGGCACCUGCCAACCAUGCCUCAUUUUUGUAUUUUUAAUAGAGAUAGGGUUUUAACAUGUUGGCCAGGCUGGUCUCGAACUCCUGACCUCAGAAUCACAACUUUCAGAGUAAUAACUCACAUUUUUUCUAAAGCAUAGGAAGCUAAUUUUGUAUAAUGAACAAAUGUGGUUGUGCCAAAAUAGGUUUUGCCACAGUUAAUUUCCACUUUCUCUUCUUAAAAAUAAGGUAUAGUCUAAGCUAAUGUAGAUAAGGAAAGGCACGAUACCAACAAACUGCAAAACAAAGUAUAGCCCCAAGCCAUGCACUUUUUAGAGUCAUGAGUAGGGACAAUGAAAAAAUUAAGGUGCAAAAUAGAUGUGAACUUCCACAAUCUUUCAAUGGACUGUCUUAACAGUUUAAUUUAAAAGCAUAGGCUUUUUCAUAUAUCUUCAGAUAGUCAGAGAGAUUUUUUUUCUUCUUUAAAUGGAAGAAUUUCUUAAAUGGAAGCACAAGAUCAUACCUACACAGCUGGUGAGCCUCAAAAUAGAAUAAUGUCUACUUUAUUAAUAAAGUUUCCAGUCAGGCAGAAUCAAGAGUAAUCUUCAUAUAUGCAUAAGGAUAUUAUCAUUAUAACAAUAUUUUUAGUAGAAAAGUCUAUAAACAAAUGUUCUCCCAAAGGGACAUCCAUAUAAUGGAAUCCUGGAGACAUUAAUGUUAGAGCUGGAAGGUGGCAAUAUGGAAAGACAACCAAGUUAAACAAGAACCAAGUCACAAACUUGAACAUUUAAAAUAAGAACAGGAAGAGGCAUACAGAGAGAGAGCCAUAUAUAAAAUAAACGAUAACAUUUCUUAAAGACUACACAAGAAUACAAGAAAUUAUAUGCCUCUGGGGUAUGAGAAUAAAGUCACAGAGGGAGACACACUUUUUGACUUUAUGCCCUUUGUGUAUACUGCAUAAUUUUUAGAAAUCAUAAGCAUAUAUUAUAGCAUACAAAAAACCUUUAAAGUCUUUAAAAAACCUGAUUGUAACCAAAGCAUUCUAUGAAACAUUGACUAUGUAAGAUUAGUUUACAAUCCCUUGCUGCCUUUAGUUAAUGAUCAUAUAGUCAAAAUUAGAAGGCUCCUUGGCGUUUGCUUCCUCUGUCUCUCCACUCAAGAAUGAGGGAAGAUGCUGAGAAUUUAGAAUUCAAAUUUUACUCUCAUUGCUUAAAUUGUAACUUGGAUAACAUCUCAAGAUUUCAGAGAACCGAUUAAAAAAUUAAUCUAUGGGCAUUUUAAUCACCAUCUAAAAUAUUUUAUCUAGGAUCACUUAUCUUUUUUUAUAAAAGCUCAAAUCACAACAUUCUCUUUUCAUCAGUCCCUACAGCCCUGUGUUGGACAAGCACAGAUGUCAAAAAUACACUUAAAUAUACGUUGAAUUUUUAUCCACUAGAAUAAAAUAAGCAGAAUGAUAUGCAUUCUUGGCGAUAGUCUUCACUGGAAAAUACCACUGUCAGCCCAAACUUACACAACUGACUUCAAAAUCAGACUAAGAUGUGGCAUAAGAAGAGCUAUUUCCUACCUUCACUAUAUAUUCAGGAUUUGCCAACUCCAAGGCCUUGAAAAACAUGUGAAUGUUUGAGACUAAGAAAAAUUGGGAAUGGUAAGCUAGUGGCCACCUUAAGAGUACAUGCCCCAUUUCAAAAAGAUGGAUUCAGAAUGCAACGUUUUAAAACACUGUGCUGGUCACACAAAACAGAACUGCAGACAGAAUUCAGUGUAAGCCUUGAAUGUGCAACCCCUAUAAGAGCACAAUAAUUGGACUUUUUAAAACCAAGGUUCACGAUACUUGGGUCUUUGCAGAUUAAAUACCUCAGUGCCCAGUAUAUCUCUAAAAAUAAACAAGUGUUCAAAUGCUUGCUAAAUGAAUUAACAAUAUAAAAGCUCUCCAAAUACUGGAUAUAAUCAUCAAAUGACCAAUACAUUUAAUUAAUGAGUUGUGGAAUUGUAUGUCCUUUGCUGUGCUGAAGCUGGUUUGCCAAGGCUUGGGAAAGCCACUGGUUGGCUAUCUCUUUCAUCAAACUGCAUUUAAUGACAUCAGAUUGGCAGGUAAAAUCACCAUGAAGACAGUAUUUAUACCAUAAAUAUUAGUAAAUGCUACAAAACAGGGCCUUUUUUCUUUCAUGAAAGAUGGUUGUUAAACAUUCAGCAGCACAACACUGGAUUACAUCGUGGUUAUAUAUUCAUCUGUUCACAAACAACCACGUGAAAAGUUUAAUGUCACUAAGUUUUAAAACAUAAAAAGAAAAACUUAACUAAUGAGGAUGAAUACAACAGGUUAAAUACAAAUUUUAAUAUCACCUUUUAAAAAAUAAAUUUUAAAAGUGUAUAGGCCACAAACUGUAUCAAUAAAGGUGGAAUGCUUUACAAAAUAGGAGUCUGUGAUACUUCAGAUGAGUCUUCAAUCUAAAGCACGCUCCACUAGUUACCAUAUUAAUUUACUUCUAAAGUUAAAAAAAAAAACCAAGAAUAAACUGUACUGAUUUCAUCAAAUUAUGAAAGGAAUUCAAGUGAUUAAAGUUUUUUUAGAUAUACAAGACAAGAACGUUAACUUGUUCAGAAUUUCAAAAUAUUAAGAAAGAAUGCAUUCAUAUAUAAAUGUGAUAGCAUUUAAUCCAAAUCUGUUCCCCAGAGCAAAAAGCUGCCACUAGCUUAACCUCUCUAUGCUUUGCUUCUUUCAUCCUAAAAGUAUAGGUCCACUGCAGGGAUUGUAAGAGAUGAAAUAUGAAAAUUGUUUUACAAAUGACUAUCUCAUACACAGCCCAUAAUACCACUGCUAUUAUUACCUUGAAGUAGUGUUAAAAAGUCUGCAAUUUCAGUUCUCACUAGCAAACAAAAAAAACCCAGGGAAUAGUUAUGUUUGCCCUGCAAGUAAAUACUGUUCUAGAAAUACACAAAUUUAAAGUAUAGUGGUUCUCAAAGAGUCUGGAGACCCUUAAUGGUCCCUACAACCCUUUCUUUGAAAGGCUGUGAAAAGUCAAACUAUUUUCAUUGUACUACUGAGAUAUUACAUAGUUUUCAUUCUCCUGAUCUCACAAGUGCACAGUGGAGUUUUCCAGCGUGUGUAUGCUGUGUAAUUUUUAAGUUGGAAUGCAAAAGCAGCAUGAAAAUCUCACUGCUUUUAUUAAGCCAGAUUUAAAUGCAUAAAAUGUAAAACAAUGUUCCUGUUCUCAUUAGUUUUUGUUUUGGAAAAGUUAUUUUUAUCAAAAAUGGUAUUUAUGUUAGCAAGUUAUUAGUUUAUUACUGUUAUACUUAAAUAAAUAAACAUGUUUUAAAAAUAUCUCAGUAUUAAUUUUAAUACAAUAAAUUCUCAGAGAUACAAGCUACAUCAACAAAGCUGUUGGGGAGUGUUAAGGUUCUGAAACUAAAAUGCUCCAGAGAUGUUGGUACAGUGGUAAACCAGCAGCCAGGUCACCCUCUCCAUGUUGCCAAUUGACAGGAACUGUACUAAAGUGGGUGUGUGUGCAGGGGGGCGGGGAAUUUCACAGGUAAAGCACUAAUGUGCUUUUACAAAUUAACAGAAGGACUUAUUUUGAGGAAGAAAGUGAUUACCAAAACUCUAUUUUCACAAAAAUAAUAAAAUAUUCUCUAUUUCAAAAAAUGGGGAAAAAAUGUCUUUAAACUAUGUCAAAAGUUUGCCAUCCUGAAAAAAGAUCUUUCCUGAACAGGGAUAUCUGCAGAUACCUGAACAGGAAAAAUGAUGUGACUAAACCAGUAAGCCAGGAAAUUUGAAGGUCUUCAGCCUUGUUACCUUCCAGGAUUUUUUCUCCUUUUUAGUACUCAACAUAAUUUUGAUGGUCUAUAUAAAACUAGAAUAAAUCUAAAUGUAAAAGUCUAACGAAAGCUGAUUUUCUUUAAUAAUAAACAGUGAAUAUCAUGAGAAAAACCACUUUAAAGCUACCUCUCUUCUUUUUUUCAUUUUUUAGAGAUGGGAUCUCACUCUAUCCCCAGGCUGGUGUGCAGUGGUGUGAUCGUAGCGCACUGCAGCCUCCAACUCCUGGGCUCAAGUGAUGUUCCCACCUCACCUCCAGGUAGCUAGGACUCACAGGCUCUCACACCACCAUACCCAGCUUGGGUCUCUUCUUGAACUAAACAUUUUUAUUUUAUAAGCGCUAAUUUAAAGUCAGUAAGAGCCCCCAUUUAAUUACAAACUUCAAUAGUUACCCAGAAAAAGAAAUAGUCUUUAAAAUCAUUUUGAUAACAACUGUUUAAUUUACUAUUCAG